AGGAUAUAUUCUAUACUUAACUAUAAGAUCAAAUCACACAAGACCUGCCAUUGCACAUUUUAUCAUUGGUAGUGAGUAAAUUUGACUAAAAGAGAAGUCUGUUCUAGCUAUUAGAUUGUCCUUUACUACUUGCAAGAAACUGUAGCUAAAUUUUAUGCAGGUACUGUCAAAUGUAUAAUAUUCAGUCAUUGAAUUAUAAAUAUUUGCACAUAAUUAUGUUGAAAAUACUUUAAAAUUCAAAUUAUCCACCAGAACUAGAUUAAUGAUAUAUGUAUUCAUUGGGAUACCAUAAAAAGCAAAAUAAUUUCUUGGCUGCCAUCUUGGGCUAAAAUCUGCCUUAUGUGCUUUUCCACGUUAGUUAGAGGCUUCUAGUUUUUGCAGUGGUACAGAAAUGGAGAUUAAGGUUGGAAUCUUUUCUCUCUGGAUCCAUCUCCGUUGUUCUGCUGAAAAAAAAGUUAAAUAUGACCUCUUCCCCAUUGAAUACUGUACAAAGUGCAUGUAUAUAUACCUCCAUCAUGGCAGCCAAAAUAAUUUUUUGAUUUACAGUAUAAAGUGAUUAUCAUUAACAAGUCAAUGAAUAUCAUGUAUCUCAUUCACAAGGAUUUGCCAAUGGUAGACAAGAACAGUGUAAUAAUGGUGUAAUAAAAUUGACUUUUGUAUGUACAUGUAUAUGUACUUUAUUUGUUGUAUUUCUUUUUCAUAGAGUAACUGUAUGGACUCCAUUACAUGGAGCAGCUUCCAAUGAUAAGAUUGAUGCUAUCUAGUGGUUAUUGGAGAAUGGUGCUCAUAUUGAGUCUAGAGAUGAUCUACUACAGUUCACAAGAUGAUAUGCCACUUGACUAAUGAAUAUAGUGUGCUGAAGAAACUCCUCUCACUUUAGCUGCUUAUUUUGGAAGCACACAGGUAGUGACAGUGCACCUUCAAAAAGGAGCAUAUAUUGCUGUCUCUUCUAUUGUUGGUAAGACUGCUUUUGGUUGGGCUAAACAAGAAGGCCAUAGUGAUACUGCGACCAUCUUAAGAGUACAUUGAGUUUGUAGUAGAAUUUCUCUCUGAUAUUGUCAGACUAUCAUUUGUGGAUGAUAUACAGCAGUUAUUACCUGAUGAAGUCAGUUCGUCUCCCGAUACUCAACUUGAGCUAAAAAGAGACAAAGUUUUUGAUGAGUCCCUACUGGAUAAUCUUAAUUGGACUGACUUUCAUUUCUAAUCUGCAUGUUCUCAAAAUCCAAACUACUUUGCUUACUAAAGUACCUUUGCUUGAUCUCUUUUAUUACUUCCUCUACUGGUCAACCUCGUUAUUUUCUACCAAUUGUUUUUCACCAAAAACAGAAAGAGGCCUUCACUAAAACCUGCGACCCACUAGUCUCAUUCAACAGUAAACUAGGCUACAGAGUUUGUUUUGAACAUUGAUUGUUUCUUUGUUAAGUUGAGAGGAGAGGCCUUGCUUAUUUAUUGACAGUAAGUCUCCAUUCUUUCCAAAGCAGCUUUGACAUGCUGUCGAGUUUUACUCUGAGGAUCUAUUUGGAAACUACAAAGAUUGCUCUGUUUUUUGUUCAGUGAUCCUAGAGGGUUUAUCAGCCAGUGCUGCUGCAUUAGCCUACGAUGAGAAGACACUAGCAAUAUCUGCUGUGACAUAUUUUCACCAGAAGCACAGAAGAUGUGAGACUAAUAGGAAUCCUCAUCCUAUCAAAGUAUCAUACACACAAGAGAAACCCUCAUGAGAUCAGGUGCAGUAUUGAGAGAUUUUCAACCCAUUGCAUUAACUGAUGAGAGACAAAGUUUGCUGGUUAUUAGUUAAGUUUUUUAGCAUUUAUGUUGCUACUUUUGUAUGUUUAUUUCUAUUCUAUUUAUUAUCUUUUGAUCCGGUUGCUCUGUCAGUUGUUCCUAUUGACAAUCUUUUACCAGAAGGCUCAGUAUUAAAUGAGUCUCAUGCUCCUGUUAUACUGCAAGCUAUCAAUAAGAUAGUCAACGAAUGGGAGACUCUAGGAUUAUAUCUUGGAAUGAAAAAUGAAGAAUUAAAGUUAAUUCAUUUUAAAAGUUUCUAUCAAAUAGAUGUAUCCCGUAAAGACAUGAUAAUUCACUGGUUAAAGACUGGUACUGCUACAAGGGAAAAGCUGAUAGAACUGAGCACUUGAGGAUUUGGGGACAAUGUUGCUACUGAAGUAAAGCGAUUACCUACACAAUAACAAUCAAGUUUGUUAUUUUAUUAUUAUUAUUACUUAUUUUUCUGUUUUUACUUACAUACACUUCCUUCUCUUUCCCCUUUAUUUAUUAUUAUUAUACAUAAAAUAAUUAAUAAUAAUCGUUAUUGUUUCAUAUUUAUGUUAAUUCUUUCAAUUUUAAAGUUUUUAUUUUU
rnacentral:lncRNA from 1 species